UACCCGCUGAACUUAAGCAUAUCAAUAAGCGGAGGAAAAGAAACUAACAAGGAUUCCCCUAGUAACUGCGAGUGAAGCGGGAAAAGCUCAAAUUUAAAAUCUGGCGGUCUCCGGCCGUCCGAGUUGUAGUCUGGAGAAGCGUUUUCCGCGUUGGACCGUGUACAAGUUUCCUGGAACGGAGCGUCAUAGAGGGUGAGAAUCCCGUCUUUGACACGGACCCCAAUGCUUUGUGAUGCGCUCUCAAAGAGUCGAGUUGUUUGGGAAUGCAGCUCAAAAUGGGUGGUGAAUUCCAUCUAAAGCUAAAUAUUGGCGAGAGACCGAUAGCGAACAAGUACCGUGAGGGAAAGAUGAAAAGCACUUUGGAAAGAGAGUUAAACAGUACGUGAAAUUGUUGAAAGGGAAACGCUUGAAGUCAGUCGCGUCGUCCGGGACUCAGCCUUGCAUUCGCUUGGUGUACUUUCCGGUCGACGGGCCAGCAUCAGUUUUGACCGCGAGACAAAGGUGGAGGGAAUGUGGCUCUUUCGGGAGUGUUAUAGCCCUUCGUCGCAUGUCGCGGUUGGGACUGAGGACCGCAGCACGCCUUUAUGGCCGGGGUUCGCCCACGUACGUGCUUAGGA
rnacentral:rRNA from 1 species